rnacentral:rRNA from 1 species
CAUGAGACAGCGACGCCGCGUGCGGGAAGAAGGCCUUCGGGUUGUAAACCGCUUUCAGGAGGGACGAAGCCACUCGGGUUAAUAGCCCAGAGGGUGACGGUACCUCCAGAAGAAGCCCCGGCUAACUACGUGCCAGCAGCCGCGGUAAUACGUAGGGGGCAAGCGUUGUCCGGAUUUAUUGGGCGUAAAGAGCGUGUAGGCGGCUAGAUAGGUCCGUUGUGAAAACUCGAGGCUCAACCUCGAGACGCCGAUGGAAACCAUCUGGCUAGAGUCCGGAAGAGGAGAGUGGAAUUCCUGGUGUAGCGGUGAAAUGCGCAGAUAUCAGGAAGAACACCCGUGGCGAAGGCGGCUCUCUGGGACGUGACUGACGCUGAGACGCGAAAGCGUGGGGAGCGAACAGGAUUAGAUACCCUGGUAGUCCACGCUGUAAACGAUGGGUGCUAGGUGUGGGGGGUGUCGACUCCCUCCGUGCCGAAGCUAACGCAUUAAGCACCCCGCCUGGGGAGUACGGCCGCAAGGCUAAAACUCAAAGGAAUUGACG